rnacentral:rRNA from 1 species
GACGAACGCUGGCGGCGUGCUUAACACAUGCAAGUCGAACGGAAAGGCCCUGCUUGCAGGGUACUCGAGUGGCGAACGGGUGAGUAACACGCGGGUGAUCUGCCCUGCACUUCGGGUUAAGCCUGGGAAACUGGGUCUAGUACCGGCUAGGAGCCAUUUUUAAUGUGAUGGUUGGAAAGUUUUUGCGGUGUAGGAUGAGCUCGCGGCCUAUCAGCUUGUUGGUGGGGUAAUGGCCUACCAAGGCGGCGACGGGUAGCCGGCCUGAGAGGGUGGACGGCGACCAUAGGACUGAGAGACGGCCCAGAAGCCUACCGGAGGCAGUAGUGGGGAGCAUUACACAAUGGGCGCAAGCCUGAUGUAGCGACGCCGCGUGGGGGAUGACGGCCUUCGGGUUGUAAACUACUUUCGAUGGGAACGAAGCUUUUUGUGAGGUUACCUAGAUAAGAGGCACCGCCUACUUCGGG